AGAGUUUGAUUAUGGCUCAGGAUGAACGCUAGCGGCAGGACCUAAUACAUGCAAGUCGUACGGGAGACACCCGUUCGGGGUGUCGAGAGUGGCGGACGGGUGCGUAACGCGUAUGCAACCCACCCCCCGACGGGCGGAUAGCCGGUGGAAACGCCGGAUAACCCGCCAUGCGGCCCCACAGGGGCAUCCCUGUGGAGUCAAAGCGGCGACGCGGUCGGGGACGGGCAUGCGUCCCAUUAGAUAGCAGGCGGGGUGACGGCCCACCUGGUCGACGAUGGGUAGGGGAUCUGAGAGGACGGUCCCCCCACACUGGUACUGAGACACGGACCAGACUCCUGCGGGAGGCAGCAGUAAGGGAUAUUGGGCAAUGGGGGCAACCCUGACCCAGCCAUGCCGCCGUGAGGGAAUGAGGCCCUACGGGUCGUGAACCUCUUUUGUCCGGGGACAAGGCAUCCCACGCGAUGGGAUGUUGAGGGUACCGGGAGAAUAAGCGUCGGCUAACUCCGUGCCAGCAGCCGC
rnacentral:rRNA from 1 species